rnacentral:rRNA from 1 species
CGAUUAGAGUUUGAUUCUGGCUCAGGACGAACGCUGGCGGCGUGCUUAAUACAUGCAAGUCGAGCGAGGUUAUGUUGUGGACAUCCUUCGGGAGGGAAGCGAUAUGACCUAGCGGCGGACGGGUGAGUAACGCGUGAAUAAUCUGCCCCAUACAGGGGGAUAGCCUCGGGAAACCGGGAUUAAAACCGCAUGAUGCUUUUUUAUCGCAUGGUAGAGAAGUCAAAUCGAAUAAGAGGUAUGGGAUGAGUUCGCGUCUGAUUAGCUGGUUGGCGGGGUAAGAGCCCACCAAGGCGACGAUCAGUAGCCGGCCUGAGAGGGUGACCGGCCACACUGGAACUGAGACACGGUCCAGACUCCUACGGGAGGCAGCAGUGGGGAAUAUUGCACAAUGGAGGGAACUCUGAUGCAGCGACGCCGCGUGAGUGAAGAAGGUCUUCGGAUCGUAAAACUCUGUCCUUGGUGACGAAGAAAAUGACGGUAGCCAAGGAGGAAGCCCCGGCUAACUACGUGCCAGCAGCCGCGGUAAUACGUAGGGGGCGAGCGUUGUCCGGAUUUACUGGGCGUAAAGGGUGAGUAGGCGGUUAUAUAUGUCAGGUGUAAAAAGCUAUGGCUUAACCAUAGUAAGCACUUGAAACUGUAUGACUUGAGUGCAGGAGAGGUAAGCGGAAUUCCUAGUGUAGCGGUGAAAUGCGUAGAUAUUAGGAGGAACACCGGUGGCGAAGGCGGCUUACUGGACUGUAACUGAC